rnacentral:rRNA from 1 species
UACAGAGGGGGCAAGCGUUGUUCGGAAUUACUGGGCGUAAAGGGCGCGUAGGCGGUCAGCACAAGUCAGUUGUGAAAUCUCCGGGCUUAACUCGGAAAGGUCAACUGAUACUGUGCGACUAGAGUGCAGAAGGGGCAACUGGAAUUCUCGGUGUAGCGGUGAAAUGCGUAGAUAUCGAGAGGAACACCUGCGGCGAAGGCGGGUUGCUGGGCUGACACUGACGCUGAGGAGCGAAAGCGUGGGGAGCGAACAGG